UACGUAGGGUGCAAGCGUUAAUCGGAAUUACUGGGCGUAAAGCGUGCGCAGGCGGUGAUGUAAGACAGAUGUGAAAUCCCCGGGCUCAACCUGGGAACUGCAUUUGUGACUGCAUCGCUGGAGUGCGGCAGAGGGGGAUGGAAUUCCGCGUGUAGCAGUGAAAUGCGUAGAUAUGCGGAGGAACACCGAUGGCGAAGGCAAUCCCCUGAGCCUGCACUGACGCUCAUGCACGAAAGCGUGGGGAGCAAACAGG
rnacentral:rRNA from 1 species